GUUCCUUCUCUCUCCAUUAUAUAUAUAAUUAAGGUGUGCAAGUUUGGUAGAUGAAAGUGGCAAAAGAGGGUUGAGCUUGCAAGUUUGAAACAAAAAAUGGGCAUUCCUAAUACAAUUUUGAGAAAAUUCCCUCUUGCAUUAUUUGCUCUAUUUAUACUUCUCUACACAAAUCGCUGUCGAGCUGCUCUUCUUGCCAAGAGCAACAACACUUUCCAUUGCAAUGGCCGAGAUGAUUGCUUCAUCUCGGACGACUUGGAAUUGGAGUCGUUUAUGGAGUCCUACGCUAGCAUUUAUAGUAGCCGAAUGCUUGCCGCUAAUGUUAAAAUUGGAGUUAUCCCGCAGGAUAGCAGUGAUACGCCAAAAGUUUGCCCAAACUCACCGCAGUAUUGCUAUCCUCCAAGGACUCCAGAAAGAUGCAAGCAGUCAUACAACAGAAACUGCUAGCUCUUAAUUGUAAUAUGCAUAUAUGUGCCAGUGUGACAAUCUCUUCUUCCCUAUUCUCCACUUUCCCUCUUUGACUCAAUAAAUUUCAUUUUGCAGAUGAAGAACAAGGUAGAAGCCAGCCAUUCCCCACUUAUGAUCAGUAUGUGUGCUUUUGCAGUUUCCUUCCUAGUUGUAAUGGCUUUUACAAAUCAAUCAUGUGAGUGCUAUUAGUUCCAUUUUUAACAAUUUUUAGACAUCAUUUAUAUCAUAAAUGUAUUUGCCUGUUUAUAUAUGAUUAUAUGACAGCAUUUACUUUAUUAGUCUAUUAUCAGUGUCAGUGAGCUACAUUAUAUCAGUAUGUAAAUCAUUAUGUAGUUAUAAUUGUUGUUAGAUUGAUAUGUUUAUUUGAAAAAAAAUUGUUUGUGUUGGGAUAAUUGAGAUUAUUUUUGAAAGGACUAAAUUGUAAAAUUUUU
rnacentral:misc_RNA from 1 species